GCCACAGCUCGCAACAUAAAUAUCGAUAACUUCACGGUCUCACAUUACUAAUCGGUUAUCACUAAUGACAAAAAAAACGUAAUCAAAGCAAAAAUCUACAAAUAUUGACGGGAAAAUGGAUUACAUUUGGUGGCUAUCGGUGACCUAGCCAAGCGCUCCCACCCAACCAUGGGUGCCCUCGAGGCGCUGCAGGGCACCACCCAUUCUCUGUCGGCAGGAGCCCCCUCCUCGCGACUACGACGGUUCCAUCUCCCCCACUGGGAAAGCUUACUCACACAUUGUGGGUAUUACAAAGGUUUAAUAAAUAUCCCUUUAAGACCUAAACCUGGCCGCCGUCUCGGGUAUUUACGCGGUCAAAGCAGAGGAUUUGUUUUGGCUGGAAAAGCGUACAGGCGCCGCGGAAACUAUGCUCUACCAGUCAUGUAUUGGUAGAGCUCGCAUGGAAACGCGGCCCUCAAAGGAACAUGCGCGAUGCGCGUGUGUAUGGUCACCUAAUUCUGAGGAGCUCAAGGGGAAAAGAAGGGACAGGCCAAAAAGGCAAACAACGAGGACAAAUAAGGCUCUCGAGUCUAACUCCGGAUAAAUUCACAAACAGGGAAGUAAAUAUCAAUAUAUAUAAUCAAGGUACACGUGUAUUCAAAUUUUCCUAAAUUUCAGCCACUGUUGGGCCGGGCCUGGAGGCGAUGAUAGCCCGGGCUGAUGACUUCCAGCCGGAGGCCAGCAGCGAUACAGGUCUCCAGGAAAGAAAACUGGCGCUCUCCGGUGAGUUAUGCAAGGGCAGUCUGAGGUUCGGCCGCCCGACAAAAUGGCGGUACCUCUCAACGCCGCGAUGCGACGGCUGGAAGUCCCCGAGAUGAGGUGGACGCGGUACACCGGAACGGACUCACCGGGAAAUGUUUGAUGUCGUCGGCGUCGACUGCGAAGACUGCUUUUCUGGGUGGUCGUCGGUACGGGUCGAACGGCCACCGGUUGCUGGGCAGCCAAGUCGGGCUGGUCGGUAUGGCGAAGUCGCGCAAAUGUCAGUAGAACUCCAAAUAAAUAUUCCGGGGCCCUUUGUGUUGGGACCCCGGCUGCCUUUAUAAAUGAUAAAUAUUAAAUACCGAACUACUGUAUAACUUUAACAUAACUCACUAUUUAAUUUUAAGCACAAAGA